rnacentral:sRNA from 1 species
AAAAAGCCCGCUUGUGCGUCGACAGAAGCGGGCUUGGGUGCGGAUGAAGCGUAUGGCGGUGCGGUGUCGCCACCGUUUCGCUUUAGCUGUUUGGGGCUUCUGUUGCCGCCCCGCGUCCGCAAGCUGAUCUCAAAUCGACGCAAGUCCUGAUGCUAACACGGUGCGGUGAGGCCCGCCCGCGC